rnacentral:rRNA from 1 species
UACGAAGGGGGCUAGCGUUGUUCGGAAUUACUGGGCGUAAAGCGCACGUAGGCGGGCUAUUAAGUCGGGGGUGAAAUCCUGGAGCUCAACUCCAGAACUGCCUUCGAAACUGAUAGUCUUGAGUUCGGGAGAGGUGAGUGGAACUGCGAGUGUAGAGGUGAAAUUCGUAGAUAUUCGCAAGAACACCAGUGGCGAAGGCGGCUCACUGGCCCGAUACUGACGCUGAGGUGCGAAAGCGUGGGGAGCAAACAGG